GCGGCGUGCUUAACACAUGCAAGUCGAACGGAAAGGCCCUGCUUUUGUGGGGUGCUCGAGUGGCGAACGGGUGAGUAACACGUGAGUAACCUGCCCUUGACUUUGGGAUAACUUCAGGAAACUGGGGCUAAUACCGGAUAGGAGCUCCUGCUGCAUGGUGGGGGUUGGAAAGUUUCGGCGGUUGGGGAUGGACUCGCGGCUUAUCAGCUUGUUGGUGGGGUAGUGGCUUACCAAGGCUUUGACGGGUAGCCGGCCUGAGAGGGUGACCGGCCACAUUGGGACUGAGAUACGGCCCAGACUCCUACGGGAGGCAGCAGUGGGGAAUAUUGCACAAUGGGCGGAAGCCUGAUGCAGCAACGCCGCGUGCGGGAUGACGGCCUUCGGGUUGUAAACCGCUUUCGCCUGUGACGAAGCGUGAGUGACGGUAAUGGGUAAAGAAGCACCGGCUAACUACGUGCCAGCAGCCGCGGUGAUGCGUAGGGUGCGAGCGUUGUCCGGAUUUAUUGGGCGUAAAGGGCUCGUAGGUGGUUGAUCGCGUCGGAAGUGUAAUCUUGGGGCUUAACCCUGAGCGUGCUUUCGAUACGGGUUGACUUGAGGAAGGUAGGGGAGAAUGGAAUUCCUGGUGGAGCGGUGGAAUGCGCAGAUAUCAGGAGGAACACCAGUGGCGAAGGCGGUUUCUCUGGGCCUUUCCUGACGCUGAGGAGCGAAAGCGUGGGGAGCGAACAGGCUUAGAUACCCUGGUAGUCCACGCUGUAAACGGUGGGUACUAGGUGUGGGGUCCAUUCCACGGGUUCCGUGCCGUAGCUAACGCUUUAAGUACCCCGCCUGGGGAGUACGGCCGCAAGGCUAAAACUCAAAGGAAUUGACGGGGCCCCGCACAAGCGGCGGAGCAUGCGGAUUAAUUCGAUGCAACGCGUAGAACCUUACCUGGGUUUGACAUGGAUCGGGAGCGCUCAGAGAUGGGUGUGCCUCUUUUGGGGUCGGUUCACAGGUGGUGCAUGGCUGUCGUCAGCUCGUGUCGUGAGAUGUUGGGUUAAGUCCCGCAACGAGCGCAACCCUUGUUCACUGUUGUCAGCACGUUAUGGUGGGGACUCAGUGGAGACCGCCGGGGUCAACUCGGAGGAAGGUGGGGAUGACGUCAAGUCAUCAUGCCCCUUAUGUCCAGGGCUUCACGCAUGCUACAAUGGCUGGUACAGAGAGUGGCGAGCCUGUGAGGGUGAGCGAAUCUCGGAAAGCCGGUCUCAGUUCGGAUUGGGGUCUGCAACUCGACCUCAUGAAGUCGGAGUCGCUAGUAAUCGCAGAUCAGCAACGCUGCGGUGAAUACGUUCCCGGGGCUUGUACACACCGCCCGUCAAGUCAUGAAAGUUGGUAACACCCGAAGCCGGUGGCCUAACCGUUGUGGGGGAGCCGUCGAAGGUGGGACUGGUGAUUAGGACUAAGUCG
rnacentral:rRNA from 1 species